CUACGGCCCCACCAGCUGCCCUCAUCGGGUAACAAGUGCUGUAGCAAACGAAAAAUCCUCCCAGAAUUCCAAUUGUACUUCCAGGAUCAACAUCGAUUGCUCUCUGUAGAGUCAAGCCUUUAGAACCACGUGAAGUACUUUAAGUUUUCAAUUGGGUUCUGUAUCUGUGCAGAUUGCCUUGGGAAGUGGUCUAAGAAGAUCCAGUGGAAUAUUUUAGAUUUUGAAUGGACUUAAAGAGCACGAGGCAGACUGAAUCGGUCUUUUCUGAAUUGCGUGAGUAGGUAUUCAUCUUGUGGAAUACACAUAUCCUCAGCCACUCUUUUUCCAAACACUUGCCUGUGAUCUGUGUUCUGCCGUUGUGUUUCCACCGACCCAAUUCCUCCUACGCCCGGGUGUCUAGCUGCUCACGCUUUCCAGGCAGAUCUUUGAAGUUUUCUGCUCUUGGACUGCUGGGAGUUUUCAGUACGGUCACUUUUCUGCUUGUGGGAUUUUUUGGAAAUUUACCCUAGUCUGCUCGUCUCUGCUAAAGACACCAUCCUCAGGGACAAGGGGAGACGUAAGGACUGCAGGGGUGCAUUCUCUUCCCUUGUGCACCCCCUCCACUCUGGGUAGAAGAGAUGCUGGAGAACAAAAAGGGACAGAGCGCUCAGGAUGGAGUAGUCUCUGUCUUAACCAAUACUGGUCCCAUCAACAGAGUGGCAACCAACAACUGCAUCCUUACUGCUAAACCUCAUGCAGCCACCCGCAGAGAUACUGGAAUUAUAGUGCCAGAGGCUGGCUGGCGCUGCAGUGUGGACGGGUUUGGGGGGGAUCACGAUGAUGGGCUCAACCUCAGCCCUACACUAAAGGGCACACUGCAACAGAGGCUGGAGUUCAGAGGACCUUUGGUGGUGGCCACAGACAAUAGCCCUCUGAAGAAUUGAUUUGACCUUUCAAAAUGUGACAACUUCAGUGUCUAAUAAACAAAUAAUCAGAGCACCAAACUUGCUGGGUAAUACUGGAGCUGUGGAGUCUGAAAUAAUUACAAAACGUUACGUAGAAUUCACCGUCAAACGACGCUGUCAUUCACCACAGUGUCACCUCAUAGCAUUACUCAUUUGUAACUAUUAAUGUCUCGUGUAGGUGGUGAGGGGAGACUGCUGUACUGAUUUUGUGUAAACUUUCCAUGGACCAAAGCUUACAGUUGGCCAGAGACACAUUUCGGUGUGCUACUUUUCAAGGUGGACCUCAAGGUGCAGGUUUAUAUGAUCUCUGAGGUGUCUUACUGAGGUGUCUCUUCUCUUCCAUGCACAAAGAUGUAGACAACAUCAACUGAAUGUCCAACCAUGAGGUACAAACACCAGUGGGGAUGAACUUUGAAAUGGCAAAGAAUCAAAACCUUUGUAACAAAUCAGUUAUUUACUAUGUUCUGUAAUGGUUUUGAACUUGAAGCAUCAGAACAUGGAGAAAAAGC
ensembl:lncRNA